UGUUUCCUCAACAAUGUCCACACUGUGCUGCAGCACACGCAGAGUCUCUGAAUGAGAACUUGAAACUCUUGCUGCUUGGCAACAUUGUUGUAUUCAGUGCUCCAUGCUGAGCUGGCUUAAAACAAUUGUUUUUUUUUUUGUUUUGUUUUUUUAUCAAACACAGCAAUUUGAUCUCUUUACUGUCUAUUGUGUCAUGGCUGAAUGACAGCCACUCUGCUGUAAGAAAGAUUAUUGCUCUGAGCAUAAAGAUGUGGCUGAUUCACAAUGUAUCUCCCUGAGCCUUUGGAAACUCCCAUGUCUGUUGACCUCAGAAGAAAGCUGCUCUUUUUUACAAACAGUAAGCAAAAUGGAUACUUUCAAACCAGCAGAGCUUAAACGGGACCCAAGGCUCGUACUACCAAAGAUGCAUGGUCUCCAAAAUCUGCUUCUUAUACAAGACAUUGCCGCAGAAGAGGAGUAUAUAGUGCCUUAA
rnacentral:lncRNA from 12 species